rnacentral:rRNA from 1 species
AACGAACGCUGGCGGCAUGCCUAACACAUGCAAGUCGAACGAGACCUUCGGGUCUAGUGGCGCACGGGUGCGUAACGCGUGGGAACCUGCCCUUAGAUUCGGAAUAACUCCCCGAAAGGGGUGCUAAUACCGGAUAAUGUCUUCGGACCAAAGAUUUAUCGCCUUUGGAUGGGCCCGCGUUGGAUUAGCUAGUUGGUAGGGUAAAAGCCUACCAAGGCGACGAUCCAUAGCUGGUCUGAGAGGAUGAUCAGCCACACUGGGACUGAGACACGGCCCAGACUCCUACGGGAAGCAGCAGUGGGGAAUAUUGGACAAUGGGCGAAAGCCUGAUCCAGCAAUGCCGCGUGAGUGAUGAAGGCCUUAGGGUUGUAAAGCUCUUUUACCCGGGAUGAUAAUGACAGUACCGGGAGAAUAAGCUCCGGCUAACUCCGUG